CCCUGACAGUCGCAUCAUGUGGCUGACAUUUGCCAAGACAGGAGUAUAUCAUG
ncrna:unclassified sequences Mu-gpT-DE RNA